CCGUCCGCCCCGUGAUCGUCUUCUCAACCUUCACGUGCGGGCGUGUCCAACGGAAAGCCCCCGCGAGGACGUGACUCGCGGGGGCUUUUC
rnacentral:ncRNA from 1 species